UUGGAGGGCAAGUCUGGUGCCAGCAGCCGCGGUAAUUCCAGCUCCAAUAGCGUAUAUUAAAGUUGUUGCAGUUAAAAAGCUCGUAGUUGAAUUUCGGGAUUGACGUGACGGUCAUGCCUUAAGGGGUAUGAACUGUUACUGUUGAUUUCUCACCUUCUGGAGAAACUUGAUGUCCUUUAUUGGGUGUCUUGCGGAUCCAGGACCUUUACCUUGAAAAAAUUAGAGUGUUUAAAGCAGGCAUUUUUGCUCGAAUACAUUAGCAUGGAAUAAUAGAAUAGGACGGCAUGGUUCUAUUUUGUUGGUUUCUAGGAUCACCGUAAUGAUUAAUAGGGAUAGUUGGGGGCAUUAGUAUUCAAUUGUCAGAGGUGAAAUUCUUGGAUUUAUUGAAGACUGACUACUGCGAAAGCAUUUGCCAAGGAUGUUUUCAUUAAUCAAGAACGAAAGUUGGGGGAUCGAAGACGAUCAGAUACCGUCGUAGUCUUAACCAUAAACUAUGCCGACUAGGGAUCGGAUGAUGUUAAUUUUAUAAUGACUCAUUCGGCGCCUUACGGGAAAC
rnacentral:rRNA from 1 species